UUUUAAGGCAUUUUGUGAUACAGUAUUACACCUGGGUGAAAGAGAAAAAAGAAGACAGCAAUCUAUUUGUUUGGUAUUGCUAAUGGAAAGAGGCCAUACAGUUACAGAGAGCAGGAUGUAAUGGAAAGUGGUGAUGCUGUGUGAUUGUUUAUAUCCAUCUAAAUACCUAUCUAUGACUACAUACACAUCUAUAUCUCUAUCUGCAUCUGUGUCUUUACAUGGUUUUAGCUAAUCACACUGCAAAGCAUCUUAAGUAUUUUGCCGUGGCUUUUAAUUUCUUUUAAUUCCUUCAAUCCUUUGCCAUGUAAUUCAAGCUCUGAUAUUGCUGUGUCAGUAUACUGUGAAGUGGAAAUUCUAAUUUAAAUAAAAUCCAUACCUAAAAUCAGAAAGUAAGGUUACAGAUGUGUUUGACUUGUAGGCAUUAUCAGGCUCUAG